GACGAACGCUGGCGGCGUGCUUAACACAUGCAAGUCGAACGGAAAGGCCCUGCUUUUGUGGGGUGCUCGAGUGGCGAACGGGUGAGUAACACGUGAGUAACCUGCCCUUGACUUUGGGAUAACUUCAGGAAACUGGGGCUAAUACCGGAUAGGAGCUCCUGCUGCAUGGUGGGGGUUGGAAAGUUUCGGCGGUUGGGGAUGGACUCGCGGCUUAUCAGCUUGUUGGUGGGGUAGUGGCUUACCAAGGCUUUGACGGGUAGCCGGCCUGAGAGGGUGACCGGCCACAUUGGGACUGAGAUACGGCCCAGACUCCUACGGGAGGCAGCAGUGGGGAAUAUUGCACAAUGGGCGGAAGCCUGAUGCAGCAACGCCGCGUGCGGGAUGACGGCCUUCGGGUUGUAAACCGCUUUCGCCUGUGACGAAGCGUGAGUGACGGUAAUGGGUAAAGAAGCACCGGCUAACUACGUGCCAGCAGCCGCGGUGAUACGUAGGGUGCGAGCGUUGUCCGGAUUUAUUGGGCGUAAAGGGCUCGUAGGUGGUUGAUCGCGUCGGAAGUGUAAUCUUGGGGCUUAACCCUGAGCGUGCUUUCGAUACGGGUUGACUUGAGGAAGGUAGGGGAGAAUGGAAUUCCUGGUGGAGCGGUGGAAUGCGCAGAUAUCAGGGGGAACACCAGUGGCGAAGGCGGUUCUCUGGGCCUUUCCUGACGCUGAGGAGCGAAAGCGUGGGGAGCGAACAGGCUUAGAUACCCUGGUAGUCCACGCUGUAAACGGUGGGUACUAGGUGUGGGGUCCAUUCCACGGGUUCCGUGCCGUAGCUAACGCUUUAAGUACCCCGCCUGGGGAGUACGGCCGCAAGGCUAAAACUCAAAGGAAUUGACGGGGCCCCGCACAAGCGGCGGAGCAUGCGGAUUAAUUCGAUGCAACGCGUAGAACCUUACCUGGGUUUGACAUGGAUCGGGAGUGCUCAGAGAUGGGUGUGCCUCUUUUGGGGUCGGUUCACAGGUGGUGCAUGGCUGUCGUCAGCUCGUGUCGUGAGAUGUUGGGUUAAGUCCCGCAACGAGCGCAACCCUUGUUCACUGUUGCCAGCACGUUAUGGUGGGGACUCAGUGGAGACCGCCGGGGUCAACUCGGAGGAAGGUGGGGAUGACGUCAAGUCAUCAUGCCCCUUAUGUCCAGGGCUUCACGCAUGCUACAAUGGCUGGUACAGAGAGUGGCGAGCCUGUGAGGGUGAGCGAAUCUCGGAAAGCCGGUCUCAGUUCGGAUUGGGGUCUGCAACUCGACCUCAUGAAGUCGGAGUCGCUAGUAAUCGCAGAUCAGCAACGCUGCGGUGAAUACGGUUCCCGGGGCU
rnacentral:rRNA from 1 species